rnacentral:snoRNA from 1 species
GUGAUGAAGAGAACCCGGCGGACAUGUGACAGGAGGCAUCCUAUCUGA